ACUUUGACACAUUAUUUGUUGAUUACCAAUGUAAAUGAGACACGUAUUUAUCAAAGCAAUCUAAUGAAUAUGAAAAUAAUAAAUUUUUCAUGAGUAAUACAGUAUUUGCACCAAAUUUUACCGUUGCUGUUUCAAUCGUUAAUAAUAAUCGAGAAGAUAUAGAGGUUAUGUUAUUUUGAGUGUCAUCCAAUCCAAAACAAUUCAGUCCUAUUUUCAAAUUAUCAGAGAUGUCUGACUUGGGAGACUGGUUCCGCAGUGUUCCCUUCUUCACCCGUUAUUGGUUUGCGGGUUCCAUCGUGUUUACCCUUGUUGGACGAUUCGGUUUAGUUAGCCCAUACAAUUUGAUAUUGCUUUACGAGCCCUUGAAGAAAUUUCAAGUAUGGAGGCUCUUCACAAGUGUGUUGUACUACCCAAUACAACAGGCUGGUUUUCACUAUCUCAUCAACCUAUACUUCCUUUAUAACUAUUCUCGCAGGCUGGAGGAAGGUGCUUAUGCUGGAAAACCAGCAGAUUAUUGCUUUCUCUUGAUCUUCAACUGGCUCUGUUGCGUUGUUUUGGGGUUAAUUGCGGAGUUACCAAUUCUAAUGGAUCCCAUGAUCCUCUCUGUACUCUACGUAUGGUGUCAGCUGAAUAAAGACACCAUAGUGACAUUCUGGUUCGGAACCCGCUUCAAAGCCAUCUACCUACCUUGGGUUCUGCUUGCCUUCAACCUGGUCCUCAGCGGUGGUGGAAUCAUGGAACUCUUUGGCAUCCUCAUCGGACACCUAUACUUCUUUCUGAUGUUCAAAUACCCCCAAGAAAUGGGCGGUCCGGUCCUGCUCAACACCCCGUCAUUUUUAAAAGAUCUGUUUCCCGACCAAAUGGGGGGUGUGCACAGUUUCGGGGCGCCUCCCCAGAGGGCGGCUUCCGCGCAACCAGGAGCUAGGGGUGGGGGUGUUUUCGGAGGACGCAAUUGGGGGAGGGGAUAUACGUUAGGGGGGAACUGAACUACUGAAUGGAGUCAGUGGGAUGCUUCGAUUAUGCAAUAGCUUUAUACAUUUUUCAAUAAAGUUAACUACUAUUAAUUUUUUUUUUGUUAGAAAGGUGUACUGUUUGGGAAGACUUGUCCCAAUAGUCUUAUGGCCCUGCAGGUUCCAACAAUGUUGAGUCAAACUGCUUCAUUUCACAAAAAACGUUUCUUGAAUUGUCAACUUUUCUAAUUAAUUACUAUAUGUCGUAAGAAAAUAUAUGUAAAAUAUUCACACAAAGUGUACAGAAAAGUUAUGUUAAAUCUUUUUGCUUCAUAG
rnacentral:misc_RNA from 1 species